AUGCCAAAGAAUGCUCAAACUACCACACAAUUGCACUCCUCUCACACACUAGUAAUGCUCAAAAUUCUCCAAGCCAAGCUUCAGCAAUAUGUGAACCGUGAACUUCCAGAUGUUCAAGCUGGUUUUAGAAAAGGCAGAGGAACCAGAGAUCAAAUUGCCAACAUCCACUGGAUCAUGGAAAAAGCAAGAGAGUUCCAGAAAAACAUCUAUUUCUGCUUUAUUGACUAUUCCAAAGCCUUUAACUGUGUGGAUCACAAUAAACUGUGGAAAAUUCUGAAAGAGAUGGGAAUACCAGACCACCUGACCUGCUUCUUGAGAAACCUAUAUGCAGGUCAGGAAGCAACAGUUAGAAUUGGACAUGGAACAACAGACUGGUUCCAAAUAGGAAAAGGAGUACGUCAAGGCUAUAUAUUAUCACUCUGCUUAUUUAACUUCUAUGCAGAGUACAUCAUGAGAAUUGCUGGGCUAGAAGAAGCACAAGCUGGAAUCAAGAUUGCUGGGAGAAAUAUCAACCUCAGAUAUGCAGAUGACACCACCCUUAUGGCAAAAAGUGAAGAGGAACUAAAAAGCCUCUUGAUGAAAGUGAAAGAGGAGAAUGAAAAAGUUGGCUUAAAGUUCAACAUUCAGAAAACGAAGAUCAUGGCAUCCAGUCUCAUCACUUCAUGGGAAAUAAAUGGGGAAACAGUGGAAACAGUGUCAGACUUUAUUUUGGGGGGCUCCAAAAUCACUGCAAAUGGUGAUUGCAGCCUUGAAAUUAAAAGAUGCUUACUCCUAGGAAGGAAAGUUAUGACCAACCUAAAUAGCAUGUUCAAAAGCAGAGACAUUACUUUGCCAACAAAUGUCCGUCUAGUCAAGGCUAUGGUUUUUCCAGUGGUCAUGUAUGGACAUGAGAGUUGGACUGUGAAGAAAGCUAAGCACCAAAGAAUUGAUACUUUUGAACUGUGGUGUUGGAGAAGACUCUUGAGAGUCCCCUGGACUGCAAGGAGAUCCAACCAGUCCAUUCUAAAGGAGAUCAGUCCUGGGUGUUCAUUGGAAGGAAUGAUGCUAAAGCUGAAACUCCAGUACUUUGGCCACCUCAUGUGGAGAGUUGACUCAUUGGAAAAGACUCUGAUGCUGGGAGGGAUUAGGGGCAGGAGGAGAAGGGGACGACAGAGGAUGAGAUGGCUGGAUGGCAUCACUGACUCAAUGGACAUGAGUCUGAGUGAACUCCAGGAGUUGGUGAUGGACAGGGAGGCCUGGCGUGCUGCGAUUCAUAGGGUCUCAAAGAGUCGGACACAACUGAGCGACUGA
rnacentral:lncRNA from 1 species